AUCCCAGUUAAGCUCAAGCCUUAGUGCUUACCUGAUUCAUGGGAGGCCAAAAUCGAAGCUGGAAGUUUCGCUGAUUAACGCCUUGUUAUCACUUUGAGGCGUUUACUUAGUAACUUUGCCAUACAUCU